GACUCUUGGUAACAAAUAUCUAAGCUCUUGCAUCGAUGAAGAACGUAAUUAAAUACGAUACUUGGUGCGAAUUGUAGGAUCCCGCAAACCAACGAGUCUUUAAACACAAGUUGCACCCAGAGCGUUUUGGCCGAGGGCACGUUUGCCUGGGCGUCA
rnacentral:rRNA from 1 species